UGCUAUAAGCUUAGGGCUGCAUGAGCUCCUUUGAAUUAGUAUUUUGUAUUCCUUGCACAAAUACCAGUAGUGCAACUGCUGGGUUACAGGGUAGCUCUAUUUUCAACUUUUUGAGGAACCUCCGUGCUGUUUUCCACACUGCCUGCACCAGCUGGCAUUUCCACCAGCAGUGCAGAGUUC